rnacentral:rRNA from 1 species
AGAGCGAACGCUGGCGGCAUGCUUAACACAUGCAAGUCGCACGGUUUGGGGGCAACUCCAGGCAGUGGCGGACGGGUGAGUAACGCGUAGGCAUCUAUCCAAGGGUGGGGGACAACCACGGGAAACUGUGGCUAAUACCGCAUGACGACUUUGGCCGAGAGGUUGAGGUCCAAAGGCCGUGAGGUCGCCUAUGGAGGAGCCUGCGUCCGAUUAGCUUGUUGGUGGGGUAAAGGCCUACCAAGGCGACGAUCGGUAGCUGGUCUGAGAGGAUGAUCAGCCGCAUUGGGACUGAGACACGGCCCAAACUCCUACGGGAGGCAGCAGUGGGGAAUAUUGGACAAUGGGCGCAAGCCUGAUCCAGCAAUGCCGCGUGUGUGAAGAAGGUCUUCGGAUUGUAAAGCACUUUCGACGGGGACGAUGAUGACGGUACCCGUAGAAGAAGCCCCGGCUAACUUCGUGCCAGCAGCCGC